GGACGAGCAGACAGUCACAAAGAAGAUUAACAGCGGUGAAAAGGAAAGACAAUGGGCAAAGUGACUAUGAGAAAGAGGGACAGGGGAGGUUAAAGGGCUAUCAGAGCAGGGGCAGGCAGGGGGACAGGGGAGGUUAAAGGGCUAUCAGAGCAGGGGCAGGCAGGGGGACAGGGGAGGUUAAAGGGCUAUCAGAGCAGGGGCAGGCAGGGGGACAGGGGAGGUUAAAGGGCUAUCAGAGCAGGGGCAGGCAGGGGGACAGGGGAGGUUAAAGGGCUAUCAGAGCAGGGGCAGGCAGGGGGACAGGGGAGGUUAAA